AUGAAGCGGCUGUGAAGGCUAUUUAUUUUGAUGCUAUGUGGAUGUAGAAACAAGUGAACACAACAGAAAGUUGGAUGAGAUGGGAUCUGAAGAGAGAGUGGUUAGGGUUAGGGUUUUGCAUCUGUGGGAGAAGAAGAUGAAGCUAUGCGACUUGUCCUCCUCAUCUGAUAUCAAAUUGAAGACCGCCUUGCCUACCUUCUCACUGCAUCCCUUUCGAAUGAAAAUAGGGUUUUCCUAUUUUCAUUUUUAAAAUAGGCAUUGCAUUGCAUUUCGAUGCAACUUCCCAUUCCAAUGCCUAUUUUAAAAUGAAAACAACAAUACGCUGUUUUCGUUUGAAACUGUUGUGAAGGAAGAUAAAGCUAACGAGUUCUUCAAUUUGAUUUCAGCUGACGAGGACCUUUAUAUCAUCAACACCUUCUGCUCUCUUGCUUUCUCUGGUUAGAAAGAAACCAGAUCCAGUUAAUCUUGGACUUGCUUUGUACCAUUUUGUUCCCCAAUGGAAUGCCAAACAAUAACAGAGGACAGACAUCAUGUAAACCCGAGAUUUUGGUUUCUGUUCCAGUCCCUUUCUCACUUGAACCUGCUUUACUUCAACCUUCGUUCUGCUCAAGACUGUUCUUCUUCGCAUGCUCAAGUGUCAGAGUUUGGUUGUGUGACUCACGGUUUGUUGGCAGGGUUCAUGAAUUUAUGAAUAUUUAUUGCCGUUUGGACUUUAAAUGCAAUGUUACUGUAGUAUGGUAGAAAUCAUCUGUUACAAAAUUCUCUCAUUUUGUUCAUUUUAAUGGUUGGUUCGCCAUUGCUGAACUUGUGCAGAAGAACAAGUGUGAAAUUUCAGAGUUGCUCGGAAUUUUUUUUAACUGAUAAAUAUCUGUAGUCUUUUGGAACUGAGAAAAUAAAGCUUAAAAUAAGAUUAACAUGACUACAA